AACGAACGCUGGCGGCAGGCCUAACACAUGCAAGUCGAACGCCCCACAAGGGGAGUGGCAGACGGGUGAGUAACGCGUGGGAACGUGCCCUUCGCUUCGGAAUAGCCCCGGGAAACUGGGAGUAAUACCGGAUACGCCGUAUUGGGAAAGAUUUAUCGGCGAAGGAUCGGCCCGCGUUAGAUUAGGUAGUUGGCGGUGUAAUGGACCACCAAGCCUACGAUCUAUAGCUGGUCUGAGAGGAUGAUCAGCCACACUGGGACUGAGACACGGCCCAGACUCCUACGGGAGGCAGCAGUGGGGAAUCUUGGACAAUGGGCGCAAGCCUGAUCCAGCCAUGCCGCGUGAGUGAAGAAGGCCUUAGGGUUGUAAAACUCUUUCGCCGGAGAAGAUAAUGACGGUAUCCGGAGAAGAAGCCCCGGCUAACUUCGUGCCAGCAGCCGCGGUAACAC
rnacentral:rRNA from 1 species